rnacentral:rRNA from 1 species
AGUCAAUAGAUACCCUGGUAGUCCCAGCUGUAAACGAUGCGCGUUAGGUGUAUCGGUGACCACGAGUCACCGAGGUGCCGAAGGGAAACCGUGAAACGUGCCGCCUGGGAAGUACGGUCGCAAGGCUGAAACUUAAAGGAAUUGGCGGGGGAGCACCACAACAGGUGGAGCCUGCGGUUUAAUCGGACUCAACGCCGGGAAGCUCACCGGAUAAGACAGCUGAAUGAUAGCCGGGUUGAAGACUCUGCUUGACUAGCUGAGAGGAGGUGCAUGGCCGUCGUCAGUUCGUACUGUGAAGCAUCCUGUUAAGUCAGGCAACGAGCGAGACCCACGCCAACAGUUGCCAGCAUGUCCUCCGGGAUGGUGGGGACACUGUUGGGACCGCCUCUGCUAAAGAGGAGGAAGGAAUGGGCAACGGUAGGUCAGCAUGCCCCGAAUUAUCCGGGCUACACGCGGGCUACAAUGGUCAGGACAAUGGGUAUCAACACCGAAAGGUGAAGGCAAUCU